rnacentral:rRNA from 1 species
UACGUAGGGGGCAAGCGUUGUCCGGAUUUAUUGGGCGUAAAGCGCUCGCAGGUGGUUCGUCGCGUCGUGCGUGAAAGACCCCGGCUCAACUGGGGAGGGUCGUGCGAUACGGGCGAACUGGAGGCCAGUAGGGGGAUGCGGAAUUCCGGGUGUAGUGGUGGAGUGCGUAGAGAUCCGGAGGAACACCAGCGGCGAAGGCGGCAUCCUGGACUGGUCCUGACACUCAGGAGCGAAAGCGUGGGGAGCGAUCCGG